AAAGAGAGGCAUGGAACUGGCAGAGCCCUGGCAGCAUGACGAGGAAACGGACCCCAUUCUGCAGUAAUUAGAAAACGUCAUGAUACGAUGCCACGUGAAGUACACACGCUCAACCUGGAUCGAAUUAUGGGGAAACAUCAGAUGGGUCCAGAUUACGCAGGACACUCUCCAUGACGACUGGCCUGGAAUCUUCAAAAACAGCAAUGCCGUGAAAGACAGAAAUAAAACAGAAAAAAA
rnacentral:lncRNA from 1 species